rnacentral:rRNA from 1 species
AUGGGGAUCGCCACGGAAGGAGACCCCAGUGAGAGGGAGAACCGCCGAGGCUCUCCGGACGAGAUGGAGAUGAAGGUGGCCAGGUUCUCCCGGGGGAAGGCUGCUAACCUGGGGGAUUUGCGCGACAAGAAACUGAAAGGGCAGCUCGCUGGAAAGGAGAAGCUGAUUGGAGUGUCCGCCAAAGCUGCCGCGCAGGCUGAAAAGUGGCUAUUGCCUAGCGUUGGGGGCUAUCUAGAGCCUGAAGGUCUCGAAAAGACAUACAGAUUUGAGCAGUGGUCGAUUCUGCCAAAGGUGGACAUUUGGAGUUCAAGAAAAUCAUUUGACAUGAUCUUACCUGUGCUUGGUCCUUAUACUCUAGAAUACACACCAAAUGGGCGCUACAUGAUAGUAGGUGGGCGAAAAGGUCAUAUUGCAUUUAUGGAUAUGUUGAAUAAUAUGGAACUCAUCAAUGAAUUUGAGGUGAAGGAAACUGUGCGCGACGUGGCAUUUUUACAGAACGAGCAACUCUUUGCAGUCGCCCAGAAAAAGUAUACCUACAUAUAUAAUCGUCAUGGCACAGAAAUUCACUGUCUAAAGGAACAUGGCGAAUCGCUGAAGCUUCAGUUUCUGGAUAAACACUUACUCUUGGCAUCGAUAAACAGCUUCGGGCAGCUCCACUACCAAGAUAUGAGCACUGGUGAGAUGGUUGCAAACUACAGCACAGGUCUUGGACGUACGGACGUGAUGCGGGUAAAUCCCUACAAUGCCGUCAUUGGCCUUGGACAUGCUCGUGGGAAACUCACAAUGUGGAAGCCAACCAGUGCGAAACCCCUUGUCACAAUGUUGUGCCAUAAGGGUCCUCUGACUGCAGUCGCAUUUGACAGGGGUGGUCACCUUAUGGCAACUGCAGGUGCUGACCGGAACCGGAAGAUUAAGAUUUGGGAUCUCAGGAAGUUUGAGGUUGUGCAUUCAUACACCGCACGUGCUCAGUCCCUAGAUUUCAGCCAGAAGGGGUUGUUGGCGAGCAGCAACGGGUCUCUAGUGGAGAUAUACAGGGAUUGCGGGGGCCAGGACUAUAAAAUCUAUAUGAAGCACAGAAUGAUAAAGGGAUAUCAGGUGGGCAAGGUUUUGUUCCGCCCUUACGAGGACAUCUGUGGGAUCGGGCACUCCAAGGGAUUUUCCUCCAUUCUCAUUCCUGGAUCAGGCGAGCCAAACUUCGAUACCUUCGUUGACAACCCCAUGGAGACCGGGAAGCAAAGGCAGGAGAAGGAGGUGCAAGCCCUCCUUGACAAGCUCCAACCAGAGACCAUCAUGCUUGAUCCGAAUGUGAUAGCCACCGUAAAACAACUGAAGAAGAAAAAGAAGAAAACCAAGAAAGAGAUCGAGGACGAGAUUGAAGGUGCCGUCGAGGCCGCCAAGAACAUUAGGGUCAAGAAUAAGACCAAGGGUAGGAGUAAGCCGAGCAGGCGGGCCAAGAAGGAGGAGGAGGAGGUUCUCAGAGCCAAGAGGCCUUUGUUGGAUCAACACAAGGAAGCCAGUGGGCACCCGGAUAAGAAACAGCGGAUCAGCGAUGAGACCGGGCUGCCGAAAACAUUGCAGCGGUUUGCCAAGAACAGGCAAUCGUGA